rnacentral:rRNA from 1 species
UACGUAGGUGGCAAGCGUUGUCCGGAUUUACUGGGCGUAAAGGGCCCGCAGGCGGGAGGGCGCGUUUGCUGUGACAGCUCGUGGCUAAACUGCGAGAGGGUAGCAAAGACGGCCUUUCUUGAGGGCCAGAGAGGGACCUGGAAGUCCGGGUGGAGCGGUGAAAUGCGUAGAGAUCCGGAGGAACACCGAAAGCGAAGGCAGGGUCCUGGCUGGUACCUGACGCUCGUGGGCGAAAGCUAGGGGAGCGAACGGG